UCCUGUGCAUGCCUCAGGAGGCCUGAGCCUCCACUCGAGCCUCAGCCACCAGCCUGGAAUAGGGGAGGCACGGCCCCUCACCCGUGUGCAUGCACCUCUGCUGGAGCCCUGCACAGCAGGAGGCCCAGCCUGUGGCUAUGAGGCCUAAGAACCAGGUGUACAAGCUCUGUUGAGGCCAUCCUGUACCCCAGGGAAGGCCAUCUUCUGGCUGCCACCACUCCUCAGCUUCCUCCAGUGCAGUCCUUAUCCCUAGGGAAGCCUGGGCCGGGCAGCAUUCCCAUUGCCCCUGUAGGCUUUAGCCUCCAGACUUCCCCCGUCAUGGGACAGGACUUGUCUUCCACAGCACCCUCCCACCUCAGAUGCAACUUCUUGGCCAACCCGAGCAAGUUGAGGCCACAAGAGCAGCCUGAGGGGCCUGGUUCUCCCACCCUCACACUGAAGGCAGCGUGGGUGCCACAGGGUGGAUGGGGUGAGGCUGCUGGGAGCCUCCAGAUACUGCCCACCAGGCCUCUAAGAGACAAAGCCCUAAGCCUGCUGCUUCUGCUCCUUCUGCAGCAGCCCCCUCCCCAUCUCUGCUGAGGCCCCAGCCCAGAGGCUGUGGGCCCGGCCUGCAGCUGCUCACCACUCUCUGAGCCUCCUGCCCUCCACGGGAAAAGCACAGCAGGGCUGAGCGGAAAGAAUGUACUUAUAGAUAUGUACAUACCACAGUGCUGUAAUUUUGUAUGUAGCAAUUGUGUAAAUACACGUAUGGAUUUUAUAAUACACACAUAUAAAUCUAUAAAGGCAUAUUUUUAGAAAAACAGCGCACCACUGCUUCUUUUGAAAAUAGUCUGAAUAAGAAUAAAAUGAAUUUCUAC
rnacentral:lncRNA from 1 species